UUGAUCCGAUACCAACUAAAAUGUUUAAGGAGGUGUGGCUCAUUCUUGGGCCAACUGUGCUGAAAAUUAUCAAUCUGUCAUUAACCUGUGGAUCUGUUCCCAAAUGUUUUAAAUUUGCAGUAAUUAAACCAUUACUUAAGAAAUCUAAUCUUGACCCUAGUGUAUUGAAAAAUGACAGGCCGAUAUCAAAUCUAUCUAUUCUGUUCCAAAAUUUUAGAAAAGGUGGUUUCA